rnacentral:snRNA from 1 species
UCCGCUUCUCGCCCUUUUGGCUAAGAUCAAGUAUAGUAUCUGUUCUUAUCAGUUUGAGGAUUUAAAAAAAUAAGUCCAAAAAAAAAAAGGUACUUCAU